rnacentral:rRNA from 1 species
AUUGAACGCUAGCGGGAUGCCUUACACAUGCAAGUCGAACGGAGUGGCGAACGGGUGAGUAAUGUAUCGGAAUGUGCCCAGUAGCGGGGGAUAACUACGCGAAAGCGUAGCUAAUACCGCAUACUCUUGGAGCGGCCUAUAUCGGAUUAGCUAGUUGGUGGGGUAAGGGCUCACCAAGGCGACGAUCCGUAGCUGGGUUGAGAGGAUGACCAGCCACACUGGAACUGAGACACGGCCCAGACUCCUACGGGAGGCAGCAGGGGGGAAUUUUGGACAAUGGGUGAAACCCUGAUCCAGCCAUGCCGCGUGUGCGAAGAAGGCCUUCGGGUUGUAAAGCACUUUUAGCAGGGAAGCGGUACCUGCAGAAUAAGCACCGGCUAACUACGUGCCAGCAGCCGCGGUAAUAC